rnacentral:misc_RNA from 1 species
GAUGAAGAACGUAGCGAAAUGCGAUAAGUAGUGUGAAUUGCAGAAUUCCGUGAAUCAUCGAAUCUUUGAACGCACAUUGCGCCUUCUGGUAUUCCGGAAGGCAUGCCUGUUCGAGAGUCAUUAACAACCGUUUCGAUCCCUUUCUUUCAGAAAUUACAAAGAGGAAAAGGGUUUGGUUAUGGUGGAGGAGGGAAAGGGAGCGUUUAGCCUGUAAAAAAAGAGGCUGUGUUCCGCCUCCCCCCCAAAAUUGUGCAGGCGGUCGUGUGCGCCCACGCAUCGAGGUGUUGUAAAAGCUGCCACGGCACUUUUCACCUGUGCAGUGCGAGAUUGGCCAGCCGGUUUAAAAACCCCUCCAAACAAUCAAAGGUUGACCUCGGAUCAGGUAGGGAUACCCGCUGAACUUAAGCAUAUCAAUAAGCGGAGGA